rnacentral:rRNA from 1 species
GUAGUCUCGCACAGAUGCAUAUCAAUAAGCGGAGGAAAAGAAACUAACAAGGAUUCCCUCAGUAACGGCGAGUGAGCGGGAAGAGCUCAAAUUUGAAAUCUUGAAAGGUCACCUUUCACGAAUUGUAGUUUAAAGAAGUGUUUUCUGUUACGAUCGUAAUAUAAGUUCUUUGGAAUAGGACAUCACAGAGGGUGAGAAUCCCGUCUAUGAUUGCGAUUUGUAGCUUUGUGAUACACUUUCAAAGAGUCGGGUUGUUUGGGAAUGCAGCCCAAAACGGGAGGUAAAUUUCUUCUAAGGCUAAAUAUUGGCGAGAGACCGAUAGCGAACAAGUACCGUGAGGGAAAGAUGAAAAGAACUUUGAAGAGAGAGUUAAAUAGUACGUGAAAUUGUCAAAAGGGAAGCGUUUAACACCAGUGUUGUUUUCUGAAAAUCAACCUCUGUUAGCUUUAUGCAUGUUUGUUUAGACCUAAUCAGCUAUCUUGCAUGUUCUAUUGUUUGCAGUGGUGCACUUUUCAGUUUACAGGUCAACAUCAGUUUUUUUUACCGUAAAAAAGUUAAAGAAAGGUAGCUCAUGGCUCCGGUCGUGAGUGUUAUAGUCUUUUUCCUAUGCGGUAGGAGAGACUGAGGUCUGCAGUGUAGGCUAUUUGGCUAGAUACUCAGGUGCUAUGUGAUACCAUUUCAUAAACAACUUGUUGAUUAUGUUUUGUCUAUUGCAUACUCGCCUGUACUAUCAUACCUACGCUUAGGAUGUUGAGUCGUAGAGCACGCAG